rfam:Heterocephalus glaber contig174355, whole genome shotgun sequence.
UAAAAGGUUUUAUACAAUAAAACCACAAAUAGAAUAAGUAACUUUGUA